ensembl:snRNA U6 U6 spliceosomal RNA
GUCCUCGCCUUAGCAACACAUGUACUCAAGUUGGAACAAUACAUAGAAGAUGAGCGUGGUCCCUGCACAAGGAUGACAUGCAAACUGGCGAAGUGCUCCACAGUUUA